UUUAAGGAAUACUCAAUCACCUUUUAAAAAUUUGAAACCCCUCCUCUAAGUGUCUGCAUAACUCUUCUAUUUGCCAUGAGCUGUCUGGAUGUUCUUUAUAAUCUUAACUAUCUUGAUUGUAGUCUCCUCCACAAGAUUUAGAUCGAACAAUUUUCUAUUACCCACCUCUUCCUAACAGAUCGACGAUCUACAUGGGCAGCCAUACAAUGCCU
rnacentral:lncRNA from 1 species